rnacentral:RNase_P_RNA from 1 species
AGGCGACUCUAAGGAAAGUGCAACAGAAAUAAACCACCUACAUUAUGUAGGAAAGGAUGGAAAGGCGAGGUAAGAGCUCACCGUCUUCUUGGUGACAAGAAGAGCAAUGUAAACCCCACUUGAAGCAAGACCGUAUAAAGACUUUUGUGGCUGCUCGUCACGUCUUAGGUAGGUCGCUAAAGUGUCUAGGUAACUAGGCACAUAGAUAGAUGACUGUCAAAUACAGAACUCGGCGUAUAGAUUUGGUUACAUU